CCCUUAGAUGUUCUGGGCCGCACGCGCGCUACACUGAUGCAUUCAACGAGCCUAUCCUUGACCGACAGGUCCGGGUAAUCUUUGAAUCUGCAUCGUGACGGGGAUAGAUUAUUGCAAUUAUUAAUCUUCAACGAGGAAUGCCUAGUAGGCGCAAGUCAUCAGCUUGCGUCGAUUACGUCCCUGCCCUUUGUACACACCGCCCGCCGCUACUACCGAUUGAACGGUUUAGUGAGGGCCUCGGAUUGGUCUCGGCCCGCUCUUUACCGGGCGGCGCCGUUGGUCGAGAAGACGCUCGAACUUGAUCGUUUAGAGGAAGUAAAAGUCGUAACA
rnacentral:rRNA from 1 species